rnacentral:rRNA from 1 species
AUUGAACGCUGGCGGCAGGCCUAACACAUGCAAGUCGAGCGGAUGAAGGGAGCUUGCUCCUGGAUUCAGCGGCGGACGGGUGAGUAAUGCCUAGGAAUCUGCCUGGUAGUGGGGGAUAACGUCCGGAAACGGGCGCUAAUACCGCAUACGUCCUGAGGGCGAAAGGGGGGGAUCUUCGGACCUCACGCUAUCAGAUGAGCCUAGGUCGGAUUAGCUAGUUGGUGGGGUAAAGGCCUACCAAGGCGACGAUCCGUAACUGGUCUGAGAGGAUGAUCAGUCACACUGGAACUGAGACACGGUCCAGACUCCUACGGGAGGCAGCAGUGGGGAAUAUUGGACAAUGGGCGAAAGCCUGAUCCAGCCAUGCCGCGUGUGUGAAGAAGGUCUUCGGAUUGUAAAGCACUUUAAGUUGGGAAGAAGGGCAGUAAGUUAAUACCUUGCUGUUUUGACGUUACCAACAGAAUAAGCACCGGCUAACUUCGUG